rnacentral:rRNA from 1 species
GACGAACGCUGGCGGCGUGCUUAACACAUGCAAGUCGAACGGAAAGGCCCUGCUUUUGUGGGGUGCUCGAGUGGCGAACGGGUGAGUAACACGCGAGUAACCUGCCCUUGACUUUGGGAUAACUUCAGGAAACUGGGGCUAAUAUCGGAUAGGAGCUCCUGCUGCAUGGUGGGGGAUGGAAAGUUUCGGCGGUUGGGGAUGGUCUCGCGGCUUAUCAGCUUGUUGGUGGGGUAGUGGCUUACCAAGGCUUUGACGGGUAGCCGGCCUUAGAGGCUGACCGGCCACAUUGGGACUGAGAUACGGCCCAGACUCCUACGGGAGGCAGCAGUGGGGAAUAUUGCACAAUGGGCGGAAGCCUGAUGCAGCAACGCCGCGUGCGGGAUGACGGCCUUCGAGUUGUAAACCGCUUUCGCCUGUGACGAAGCGGGAGUGACGGUAAUGGGUAAAGAAGCACCGGCUAACUACGUG